UUUAUAUUUAUUUAUUUAAAUAUUAAAUUAAAUUUUAAUUUUAUUAAAAAUAAUUAUAAAUUUUUAUUUUUAGUAUUUAAAAAGAAAAAAUAAUUUUAAUUAUAGAAAAUUAGUACUGUGAAGGAAAAUUGAAAUAAAUUGAAAAAUUUUAAUUUUAUAAGAAAAUUUAAAUUAUUGUAUCUUGUGUAUCAGAGUUUAUUAAAUAAAUUUUAUAAAUAAAUAAAUUUCUCGAUUUUAAAAGAGUUAAUAUAAAAUAAUAGUUAAUGUAAUAAAUUUAUUGUAAAUUUUAUAUUAGAAAUUAUAAGUUAUUCGUUUUUAAUGGUAUCUAGUUCUUAAGGAAAUAAAUUUAAUUUAGAAUUAAUAAAAUUAUUUAUUUUAUUUAAAAUUGAAUAAAUUAAUUAAUUUAAUAUAUUAUGGGAUUAGCUAUAAUAUAAAUUUGUUAAAAUUAAAUAUUUUAGUUUAUAAUAAAUAUAAGCUUAGAAAUAGUUAAUAUUAAUAAAAGUGUUAUAAUUUAUAUUAAUUAAAUAAGAUUUAGUAUUAAUUUAAGUUUUUAUUUAAGAAAUAUUUAUAAUUUAUUAAAAUAAGUAAUAAUGAUAAAAUUAGUAAAUUUUUAUAUUUAUUUAGUAAAUUAUAAUAAAAAUUUAAAAUAAAGAAUUCGGCAAAAUAAAAUAUUCGCCUGUUUAACAAAAACAUGUCUUUUUGAUAAUUUAUUUAAAGUCUAACCUGCCCACUGAAUAAUUUAAAGGCCGCAGUAUACUGACUGUGCAAAGGUAGCAUAAUCAAUAGUUUUUUAAUUGAAAGCUGGAAUGAAUGGUUGGACGAAAUAUAAUCUGUUUCAUUUUAAUUUUUUAAGUGAAUUUUAUUUUUUAGUGAAAAAGCUAAAAUUUAAUUAAUAGACGAGAAGACCCUAUAAAUCUUUAUAAUAUGUUUAAGAAUUUAUUUAUUUUUAUAAUUAUAAGUUUUUAAAUUAUUUAUUUUAUUGGGGUGAUAUUAAAAUUUGUUGAACUUUUAAUUUAAUUAUUUCAUAAAUAAAUGUUUUUUAUGAUCCAUUAUUAGUGAUUAAAAGAAUAAGUUACUUUAGGGAUAACAGCGUAAUAAUUUUGGAGAGUUCAUAUCUAUAAAAUUGAUUGCGACCUCGAUGUUGGAUUAAGAUAUAAGUUUAGGUGUAGAAGUUUAAAUUUUUAGUCUGUUCGACUAAUAAAAUCUUACAUGAUCUGAGUUCAAACCGGUGUAAGCCAGGUUGGUUUCUAUCUUUAAUAAGAUUAAAUAAUAUAGUACGAAAGGAUUUAUUAUUUUAUAAAUUAUAUAUUUAAAUUGAAUUAAAUUAAUA
rnacentral:rRNA from 1 species